rnacentral:rRNA from 1 species
UACAGAGGUCGCAAGCGUUAAUCGGAUUUACUGGGCGUAAAGCGUGUGUAGGUGGCUGUACAAGUCGGUUGUGAAAUCCCCGGGCUCAACCUGGGAACUGCUUCCGAGACUGUGCGACUAGAGAUCGGUAGAGGGCGGUGGAAUUUCCGGUGUAGCGGUGAAAUGCGUAGAUAUCAGAAGGAACACCAAUGGCGAAGGCAGCCGCCUGGGCCUGAUCUGACACUGAGACACGAAAGCGUGGGGAUCAAACAGG